UGGCUCAGGUAGUAGAGCACGGUGCUUGCAACGCCAAGGUUGUGGGUUCAAAUCCCAC
rnacentral:tRNA from 1 species